rnacentral:rRNA from 1 species
CUCAAAGGAAUUGACGGGGGCCCGCACAAGCGGCGGAGCAUGCGGAUUAAUUCGAUGCAACGCGAAGAACCUUACCAAGGCUUGACAUGAACCGGUAAUACCUGGAAACAGGUGCCCCGCUUGCGGUCGGUUUACAGGUGGUGCAUGGUUGUCGUCAGCUCGUGUCGUGAGAUGUUGGGUUAAGUCCCGCAACGAGCGCAACCCUCGUUCUAUGUUGCCAGCGCGUUAUGGCGGGGACUCAUAGGAGACUGCCGGGGUCAACUCGGAGGAAGGUGGGGACGACGUCAAAUCAUCAUGCCCCUUAUGUCUUGGGCUUCACGCAUGCUACAAUGGCCGGUACAAAGGGUUGCGAUACUGUGCGGUGGAGCUAAUCCCAAAAAGCCGGUCUCAGUUCGGAUUGGGGUCUGCAACUCGACCCCAUGAAGUCGGAGUCGCUAGUAAUCGCAGAUCAGCAACGCUGCGGUGAAUACGUUCCCGGGCCUUGUACACACCGCCCGUCAAGUCACGAAAGUUGGUAACACCCGAAGCCGGUGGCCUAACCCUUGUGGGGGGAGCCGUCGAAGGUGGGACCGGCGAUUGGGACUAAGUCGUAACAAGGUAGCCGUACCGGAAGGUGCGGCUGGAUCACCUCCU